CCUUAACCCACCCUUAAACCUACCCACACCACCAAACCUGACCCUAAAAAUACCCAUAUAACACCUCAAUAGCAGUAAAAGUGUUUUGCAAUACAAUAAGUACAUAGCACUUAAUUUUUGAUGUAAGUACAUAGUAGUUAAGGCCACCUAAUAUAAAGUGUUACCAAAUAUUGCACUAGUUUUACUUUAAUUGUUUGAUGGCCAAACUAAAUCCUUUAUUUUUAUUUAUUUAUGCUAUACAAACAUCACAGUAUACAUCCACUGAAAUACAAAUGUUGUGUCAUGCAUUUUUUUUUUCUGCGAACAGCUGGAAAGAGUCAGGUGCGGAGGAGAGGAAGGUGAUCGCUCGCACCUGCCGCUCGUUACUGUGCAGACGCUGCAAGCUCAAAAGCUGUUCAACAUACCUACCACACUGAAGCUUGACUUCCAGAGUGCUGUACCUCUCGCCUGCCUUGUGUUGUUCUAGUGGUUUUGUCAGAGAUUGAUACUGUGUAACUUACUCAAGCUAUGGCUUAUUUUAGCCUUCUAAAUAAGUAAUUAGCGUUGUUGUUGCACUAUGCGUCUCUCUGUGUUGGAAGCCGUAGGGAGGUGGGUGCCAUUUUAUUUCUGUGAAUCUUUUUCUCUUGUUUUUGCUUAGAGAGUUAGUGUACAUUUUCUGUUGUUAAUUUUAUUUUGUUUUGUCAGUUUAGACAGUUUUACUCCCUAACUAGUCAGAGGGUCCUUUUGUUUGUUGUUUUGGCCUUUCCCCCUCCUGAAGUCUAUUUUGCUUCCUAUUUUAUUUUGUCAUUUGGAAAUUCUGUAAAUAAAACACUUGAAUUUGACUAAAACUUUUGAAUUUGACGUGUCUGUUCUGCUUGGCAUGGUACUGGUACUCACUCACCCCAACCAGUUUUGUUUUCUUUUCUCUGUUACUCCCUUACCCUAGACCCUUACAUCUGGGACAUAACAAAGUUGCUGGUGUGAGAUUGGCGAAUAAGCUUUCAUAAGGUAAGCUGACUUGUGAAUUAUUAACUCAUUUCACUAGAUGUCCAAUUUUGUUGUUCAGUAAUCAUCAUGUUUCCUUUAAUAACAGAAUGGUUAAAAAUACCCAGGCCUAUAAUAAAAUACCAGUAUAAAACUAUACAAAGAAUAUUAUCUUUCUAAAUCACUCCUAAACAUAAGAUUAUUGUUUAGGCCAUACCAUGAUAUAUUAGAAUAGGUACCCCUUAGUUUCAAAAUACUUACAGUAUAAAUGAUUUGUAAUGUUACAGGUUGUUAACCCGUUAUUCCCCAAACGUUGCAUAUUAUUCCCCUAUACCUACACUAUAAUUACAAAAACGUUACGCAGCAACUUCAGUUUACUUAUGCAGUUCUUUGCAGGUUGCAUAUCUGGUUGUUACCCCCUUAUUACCCAAACGUAACAUAUUGUUCCCUUAUACCUACACGUAUGUUCUUUAUAGGUACACUAUAAUUGCAGAAACGUACACUGUAAAUUCAGUAUACUUGCGUAGUUCUUUGCGGGUUGUAAUCUAAAGCGUUACCGACAAAUUUCCUCUUCAGGAUAAUACAAUUUAUUUUCAAUGCCUGACAUUUUAAUACAUUUAAUGCGUUCAAUAUUAUGAACUUAACAAAUAAAGCUCUAUUCUUUGAGAGUGCUUACAGUCUAAACAUUUAUCAAUGAGAACAAUGCCCAAGUUCAUAUUGUCAAUUUGUUUUAUUGUUUCUUUCACUUUCUUUUUUCCAUUCAUUUUUUUUUUUCACAAGAUCUUUAUUCAUUCAGUUCAGUUUCCAGGUAUUCAAUUAAAUAACAUGAAAAUGUUGGUUUGAAGACUUCACAAUUCUAUUUAAUGAUAUCUACUCAGCUGCACGGAAGAAUUAAAUAUUGUAGCACCGUAGAGAGAUAAUCUACUCAAAAACAGAGCAUGUGAACACAAGUUUCUUACAAAAAAAAAAAAAAAAAAAAAUUAAA